ACGCUGGCGGCAGGCCUAACACAUGCAAGUCGAGCGGCAGCACAGGUACUUGUACCGGGUGGCGAGCGGCGGACGGGUGAGUAAUGCCUAGGAAUCUGCCUGGUAGUGGGGGAUAACGCUCGGAAACGGACGCUAAUACCGCAUACGUCCUACGGGAGAAAGCAGGGGACCUUCGGGCCUUGCGCUAUCAGAUGAGCCUAGGUCGGAUUAGCUGGUUGGUGGGGUAAUGGCUCACCAAGGCGACGAUCCGUAACUGGUCUGAGAGGAUGAUCAGUCACACUGGAACUGAGACACGGUCCAGACUCCUACGGGAGGCAGCAGUGGGGAAUAUUGGACAAUGGGCGCAAGCCUGAUCCAGCCAUGCCGCGUGUGUGAAGAAGGUCUUCGGAUUGUAAAGCACUUUAAGUUGGGAGGAAGGGCCGUUACCUAAUACGUGAUGGUUUUGACGUUACCGACAGAAUAAGCACCGGCUAACUCUGUGCCAGCAGCCGCGGUAAUACAGAGGGUGCAAGCGUUAAUCGGAAUUACUGGGCGUAAAGCGCGCGUAGGUGGUUUGUCAAGUUGAAUGUGAAAGCCCCGGGCUCAACCUGGGAACUGCAUGCAAAACUGGCAGGCUAGAGUAUGGUAGAGGGUGGUGGAAUUUCCUGUGUAGCGGUGAAAUGCGUAGAUAUAGGAAGGAACACCAGUGGCGAAGGCGACCACCUGGACUGGUACUGACACUGAGGUGCGAAAGCGUGGGGAGCAAAC
rnacentral:rRNA from 1 species